rnacentral:rRNA from 1 species
AUGAAAUUGAUCUCCCCGUGCAGAAGCGGGGAUAAUACCAUAAGACGAGAAGACCCUAUGGAGCUUUAGACGUCAGAGCAGCCCAUGUAAAGCACCCCUUAACAAAGGAAAAAACCAAAUGAAGCCUGCCCUAAUGUCUUUGGUUGGGGCGACCGCGGGGAAAUACAAAACCCCCAUGUGGAGUAGGAAUACACAUUCCUAAACCCAAGAGCUCCCGCUCUAAUGAACAGAAAUUCUGACCAAUAAGAUCCGGCACACGCCGAUCAACGGACCGAGUUACCCUAGGGAUAACAGCGCAAUCCCCUUAAAGAGCCCUUAUCGACAAGGGGGUUUACGACCUCGAUGUUGGAUCAGGACAUCCUAAUGGUGCAGCCGCUAUUAAGGGUUCGUUUGUUC